GUACCCGACCCUAAUAAAAGUCAGGUUGAUUCGAGCUAGCUAUCUUACCAGCACCAGAGUGUAUCAAUUCAACCGAAUCAAGCUGGACACCAAGUUUGACAAGUCGGCUCUACCAAACAGUACUGGUGAACUUGGGAAAGAGAAAGGUCUCCAAUCAUGCUGGGCAGGAGGUUCAUUUCUUUCUUCAGGAGUUCUUCAGCGUCACAGCUUUCCAGUACCGCCAAGCCUGUGGAUGAAGAAAAGAGCAGGUCUUUUGGUCGUAAGGCUGUUUCUUUUUUGUUGAUUACCGUCACAGGCGGUGUUGCUUUGAGCGCUCUUGAUGACCUUGCCAUAUAUCAAGGCUGCAGCAGCAAGGCCAUGGAGAAAGCCAGUAAAAAUCAGGCAAUCAAAGAUGCUAUUGGGGAACCAAUUGCUAAAGGUCCAUGGUACAAUGCAUCUCUUGCAGUGGCUCACAAAAGGCAUUCUGUAUCUUGCACAUUUCCUGUGUCUGGACCACGUGGCAAUGGUGUGUUCCAAUUGAAGGCAGUUCGUAAUGGAGAGGACAAUUGGUUUUCGUUUUUCCUUCCUCGUGAUUGGGAAAUCCUAAUAAUGGAAGCUCUCCUUCAUGUUCCUGGUAAUGAGGAAAAGCAGCAAACAAUGCGGAUUAGUCUUUCUGAAAACUACCCAUCUCCAGAUUGCAAGGCAUGCACUUCAUGCCCACAGGGAUCUCAAAAGCCAGAGAACAAAUGAAAAGCUGCACACCAUCAAGUAUGUGGGAACAUUUUUUCAUUUUUCGGCUCUGUGUUUCACACCAGUUCCUGUUCUUCCAGCAUUAGGAUUAACACAAGUUUAGAUCUGAUGUGCUCAUAAAUAUAGUUAAAACUGCUCACCUGGUACAAUUUGGCCUCUUUUCCAAAUCCAGGAUGGAUUUGGUACUUUCAUUCUAGCAGAUAUUGAAGAGCAACUAACAGUCUAAGAAUCGAGAUAGCCGUAAAUUGUACUUCGAAUUCUGGCCAUUUUCAUUGGGAUUGGAGAGGUGAGUGUCAACAUCAUCUGUUAGAAGAAAAGAAAGCAGAAGCAGCAUUAAGUGCUUGGCAAGCUUGAUUUUGAGCAGAAACAGAAAGGAGAAAUAAAUAGCAUUGAUGAUUUGUGUGCCAUUUUGGCUACAUACUGAUUCAUGGUGAAAUGACUGUUAACCAAUCUGGUUCACAUUACUCCCACUCCUUCAGUUUUGGGUACUAUGGCUUCACACUCCAGAUUUGACCAUUAAAUUUAGUACUUUAUUAAAUUUUAUAAAUGGAAAACUCAAAAUUCAAAGUUUA